GGGAGCAUAGCUCAGUUGGUAGAGCAGCGGACUCUUAAUCCGUAGGUCCCGGGUUCGAAUCCCUGUGCUCCCACCA
rnacentral:tRNA from 3 species